rnacentral:rRNA from 1 species
UCGGAGGAAAAGAAACCAACAGGGAUUGCCUUAGUAGCGGCGAGUGAAGCGGCAAAAGCUCAAAUUUGAAAUCUGGCUCUUUCAGAGUCCGAGUUGUAAUUUGAAGAAGGUAUCUUUGGGUCUGGCUCUUGUCUAUGUUUCUUGGAACAGAACGUCACAGAGGGUGAGAAUCCCGUGCGAUGAGAUGAUCCAGGCCUAUGUAAAGUUCCUUCGAAGAGUCGAGUUGUUUGGGAAUGCAGCUCUAAGUGGGUGGUAAAUUCCAUCUAAAGCUAAAUAUUGGCGAGAGACCGAUAGCGAACAAGUACAGUGAUGGAAAGAUGAAAAGAACUUUGAAAAGAGAGUGAAAAAGUACGUGAAAUUGUUGAAAGGGAAGGGCUUGAGAUCAGACUUGGUAUUUUGUAUGUUACUUCUUCGGGGGUGGCCUCUACAGUUUAUCGGGCCAGCAUCAGUUUGGGCGGUAGGAGAAUUGCGUUGGAAUGUGGCACGGCUUCGGUUGUGUGUUAUAGCCUUCGUCGAUACUGCCAGCCUAGACUGAGGACUGCGGUUUAUACCUAGGAUGUUGGCAUAAUGAUCUUAAGUCGCCCGUCUU